rnacentral:rRNA from 1 species
UCGAGAAUCUUCCGCAAUGCGCGAAAGCGUGACGGAGCAAUGCCGCGUGCCGGAUGAAGGUCUUCGGAUUGUAAACGGCUGUCACUUGGGACGAAAAAAAUGACGGUACCAAGGGAGGAAGCCACGGCUAACUACGUGCCAGCAGCCGCGGUAAUACGUAGGUGGCGAGCGUUGUUCGGAAUUAUUGGGCGUAAAGGGUCCGCAGGUGGUUAUUUAAGUCUGAUGUGAAAUCUCACCGCUCAACGGUGAAACUGCAUUGGAAACUGAAUAGCUAGAGUAUUGGAGAGGUCAUUGGAAUUCUAGGUGUAGCGGUGGAAUGCGUAGAUAUCUAGAGGAACACCAAAAGCGAAGGCAGAUGACUGGACAAUUACUGACACUCAGGGACGAAAGCAUGGGGAGCAAACA